UCAGAACGAACGCUGGCGGCAGGCCUAACACAUGCAAGUCGAACGGAUCCUUCGGGAUUAGUGGCAGACGGGUGAGUAACGCGUGGGAAGCUACCUUGUGGUAGGGAACAACAGUUGGAAACGACUGCUAAUACCCUAUGAGCCCUAUGGGGGAAAGAUUUAUCGCCAUGAGAUGUGCCCGCGUUAGAUUAGCUAGUUGGUAAGGUAAUGGCUUACCAAGGCGACGAUCUAUAGCUGGUCUGAGAGGAUGAUCAGCCACACUGGGACUGAGACACGGCCCAGACUCCUACGGGAGGCAGCAGUGGGGAAUAUUGGACAAUGGGGGCAACCCUGAUCCAGCCAUGCCGCGUGAGUGAUGACGGCCUUAGGGUUGUAAAGCUCUUUCAGCAGUGAAGAUAAUGACAUUAACUGCAGAAGAAGCCCCGGCUAACUUCGUGCCAGCAGCCGCGGUAAUACGAAGGGGGCUAGCGUUGUUCGGAAUCACUGGGCGUAAAGCGUACGUAGGCGGACUGAUCAGUCAGGGGUGAAAUCCCGGGGCUCAACCCCGGAACUGCCUUUGAUACUGUCAGUCUUGAGAUCGAGAGAGGUGAGUGGAACUCCGAGUGUAGAGGUGAAAUUCGUAGAUAUUCGGAAGAACACCAGUGGCGAAGGCGGCUCACUGGCUCGAWAMCUGAC
rnacentral:rRNA from 1 species